CACGUAGGGCGCAAGCGUUGUCCGGAAUUAUUGGGAGUAAAGAGCUCGUAGGCGGUCUGUUGCGUCCGCUGUGAAAACUCGGGGCUUAACCCCGAGCCUGCAGUGGAUACGGGCAGACUAGAGGUAGGUAGGGGAGAAUGGAAUUCCCGGUGUAGCGGUGAAAUGCGCAGAUAUCGGGAGGAACACCGGUGGCGAAGGCGGUUCUCUGGGCCUUACCUGACGCUGAGGAGCGAAAGCGUGGGGAGCGAACAGG
rnacentral:rRNA from 1 species